GAUGAACGCUGGCGGCGUGCCUAAUACAUGCCAGUCGAGCGAACGGACGAGAAGCUUGCUUCUCUGAUGUUAGCGGCGGACGGGUGAGUAACACGUGGAUAACCUACCUAUAAGACUGGGAUAACUUCGGGAAACCGUAGCUAAUACCGGAUAAUAUUUUGAACCGCAUGGUUCAAAAGUGAAAGACGGUCUUGCUGUCACUUAUAGAUGGAUCCGCGCUGCAUUAGCUAGUUGGUAAGGUAACGGCUUACCAAGGCAACGAUGCAUAGCCGACCUGAGAGGGUGAUCGGCCACACUGGAACUGAGACACGGUCCAGACUCCUACGGGAGGCAGCAGUAGGGAAUCUUCCGCAAUGGGCGAAAGCCUGACGGAGCAACGCCGCGUGAGUGAUGAAGGUCUUCGGAUCGUAAAACUCUGUUAUUAGGGAAGAACAUUUGUGUAAGUAACUGUGCACAUCUUGACGGUACCUAAUCAGAAAGCCACGGCUAACUACGUG
rnacentral:rRNA from 1 species